GAAGAGCACUUUUUUACUCCAUUAUAAAAAUUUGUUAAGCACAACCAGAUUUUUUGUUUGUUUGUUUCUGAGCAGAGGGAUGAUAGUGCUGGAGACUGACAUUUUCAGCUUGGCCUCUUGCCACCUCCACGAGACAGUAUAUGGAGGUCUGUGCUUCACACUCUCCAGUAAGGAGCUUGAUCCAAGGCCUCACAAACCUUAGGAACACCUAUUAAACAUCAAAAACUGGGAUCCUUUAGUCUAAAAGCUACGGAUGGAAAGAUAGAUUGUGUGUGUGCUACGGGGCAGUUACUUCCUGUCUCAGAAUGGAAACAUCCCUUGAGCAACAAAAACUGUAUUGCAGAUACA